AUAUAAUAUUUUUUGUAUUCAGAGACAGCAGGUGGCUUUGCGCCAUAAUUCCUGCCGAGAAUGCAGUAUAUGUGUUUGCUUAUGCUGUUUUGUGUCUUUGGAUGCAAAGCAGCAUUUUGUUUUGUUUU
rfam:Intestinimonas butyriciproducens strain AF211, complete genome.